GACGAACGCUGGCGGCGUGCUUAACACAUGCAAGUCGAACGGAAAGGCCCUGCUUUUGUGGGGUGCUCGAGUGGCGAACGAGUGAGUAACACGUGAGUAACCUGCCCUUGACUUUGGGAUAACUUCAGGAAACUGGGGCUAAUACCGGAUAGGAGCUCCUGCUGCAUGGUGGGGGUUGGAAAGUUUCGGCGGUUGGGGAUGGACUCGCGGCUUAUCAGCUUGUUGGUGGGGUAGUGGCUUACCAAGGCUUUGACGGGUAGCCGGCCUGGGAGGGUGACCGGGCACAUUGGGACUGAGAUACGGCCCAGACUCCUACGGGAGGCAGAAGUGGGGAAUAUUGCACAAUGGGCGGAAGCCUGAUGCAGCAACGCCGCGUGCGGGAUGACGGCCUUCGGGUUGUAAACCGCUUUCGCCUGUGACGAAGCGUGAGUGACGGUAAUGGGUAAAGAAGCACCGGCUAACUACGUG
rnacentral:rRNA from 1 species